rnacentral:misc_RNA from 1 species
UACGGAGGGUGCAAGCGUUGCUCGGAAUUAUUGGGCGUAAAGGGUAGGUAGGUGGUCUUAUUUGUCUGGGGUGAAAGCCUUGAGCUUAACUCAAGAAGUGCCUCAGAAACGGUGAGACUAGAGUCCUGGAGAGGGUCGUGGAAUUCCCGGUGUAGCGGUGAAAUGCGUAGAGAUCGGGAGGAACACCAGUGGCGAAGGCGGCGACCUGGACAGGUACUGACACUCAACUACGAAAGCGUGGGGAGCAAACAGG